GAACAUGAUAACUUUCUAUUCUUUCAAGAUGAUGAGAUGUGAAAAAGCGGAAAAGUAAGAGAAAAAAGAAAAUCAUUUCGUGAAUCCUAUUAUCAAUUCACCUCAUUAAUUCUGAAAGUUAAGCAAUAAUUUUUUACUUUUACCACACACAUAUAGCAAAUGUCACCUAUAUAUUCGGAAUUGU